rnacentral:rRNA from 1 species
GAUGAGAUCGUUUGGAAGUCUUCGCCUUCCGGUGAAUACUCGACAUCCUCGGCUUACAACGCUCAACUUGAGGACUCCACUACAUCACAAAUGAAGUCGGCUGUGUGGAACAAUUGGGCGCCGCCAAAGCACAAAUUCUUUGCUUGGCUUAUCAUUCAGGACCGGGUUUGGACCGCGGACAGGCUUCAACGAAGAGGAUGACCAAACUGUAACCUAUGCCAAUUAUGCAAGAGGGAGCCAGAGACGGCGGCGCACAUCAUCUUCCGGUGUCGAUACACGAAGCGCAUUUGGGCGGAGAUCAAGACUUGGAUGGGCUUGACCAAUGUGGACAUCGCCGACUGGAGCAGCUUCGACAACGUCAAGGGCUGGUGGCACCACAUGGUGGGCGUCAAUGCCAAUGUGAGAAAGGGCCUCGCAUCUGUCGUCAUGUUGGUUUCAUGGGAGAUUUGGAACGAGCGGAACGCGAGAGUGUUUAGAAAUGUGUCCUCCAUGCCAUAUGUAAUCACAUCUAGAAUUAAGACCGAAGCCAGGCUUUGGGGGUUGGCGGGGGCCAAACAUUUGAGUUCUCUUAUGCCGCGAGAGUAG